rnacentral:rRNA from 1 species
GUAGGUGGCAAGCGUUGUCCGGAAUUAUUGGGCGUAAAGCGCGCGCAGGCGGUUCUUUAAGUCUGAUGUGAAAGCCCACGGCUCAACCGCGGAGGGUCAUUGGAAACUGGAGAACUUGAGUACAGAAGAGGAAAGCGGAAUUCCACGUGUAGCGGUGAAAUGCGUAGAGAUGUGGAGGAACACCAGUGGCGAAGGCGGCUUUCUGGUCUGUAUCUGACGCUGAGGCGCGAAAGCGUGGGGGAGCAAACAGGAUUAGAUACCCUGGUAGUCCACGCCGUAAACGAUGAGUGCUAAGUGUUAGGGGGUUUCCGCCCCUUAGUGCUGCAGCUAACGCAUUAAGCACUCCGCCUGGGAGUACGGCCGCAAGGCUG